AAAAAAAACUCUCGCCUCUCUCUUAAACGGCGCAUCACUGCUUCUCUCGCUGGCCUCUUUGCCUCUCUCGCCUCUCUUCUCAUUUCUUCUCUACCCUAAGCGUAAGGCUGACCAGGAGAUCCCUCACCUUCUCUCUGCUGAGCUCAAGCUCGCCGGUGCUACCAUGUUUUUUGUGACAUCUCAGGGGUGAUUUCAUUGCCGCAGCUGGUUCCCUCCUCGUUGCCCGAUUUCUCGUUGGUCGCCGGCACUAAAUUGUUAGAAUCGGAAGUGGGGAAGAUUAAUCUUCUGGAUGAGAGUGAACUGGAGUUCGGAUUAGGGCAGUGGCGGUGAACGGCUCAGUCUCGGCGGUGGCGCGUGGAAGAGCUUCUCCUCCUCGUUCAAGCGAGGAUCAGAACCGCAGCGCAAGUUAUCAAAGGCAGAGCACAAAGAUGAAGAGGAAGAGGAAGGUGUGGAAGAGGAGGAUGAUGAUGAGCAAGGGAAACACAGUGUGGGGCAUGCGGCCGAUGAGUUCUGGAUCUGCUGUGACGUUUGUGAGAACUGGCUCCAUGGGAAGUGUGUGAAGAUAACACCAGCCAGGGCUGAACACAUCAAGCAGUUCAAGUGCCCAUCUUGCAGCAACAAGAAGGCUCGGUCUUAAACUAGUUUUUAUUGCCGCCUCGGUCGUAAACAACUGUGUUAUAAUCAUUAAGUUGUUUUUCUUGUUACAGUCAUUAAGCAGAAUAUCAAUAUGACAAAUUCUAAAACAUAUGCAUCAUGUAAUGCAAAUUGAUGUUAAUAUAUGGAGAUUUUUUCAGUUUA